AUCAAUGUCAGCUGUUAGACGACACAUUAUUCCUCAUUUUUUACUUUCUUCCUUGAUUUACCUUUAUGAGACUGAUCCAAGGACCCAGUUGAUUCCUGGGCAUUUCUAUGCUUCGAAGACCCUGAAACCAGAGUCGUCUCGUGGCU